rnacentral:rRNA from 1 species
CUAUCCAUGAGCAGGCUGAAGCGGUGGUAAGACACCGUGGAGGGCCGCACCCACGUCUGUUGAAAAAGCCGGGGAUGACUUGUGGAUAGCGGAGAAAUUCCAAUCGAACUCGGAGAUAGCUGGUUCUCCCCGAAAUAGCUUUAGGGCUAGCGUUAUUUUAGAUUACCGGAGGUAAAGCACUGAAUGGUCUAGGGGCCGCGAGGUUACCAAAGCCUAUCAAACUCUGAAUGCCGGAUAAUUGAUGAAUAGCAGUCAGACUGUGUGAGAUAAGUCUCAUAGUCAAAAGGGAAACAGCCCAGAUCUACAGCUAAGGUCCCAAAUGAACACUAAGUGGAAAAUGAUGUGAAACUGCGAAGACAACCAGGAUGUUGGCUUAGAAGCAGCCACUCAUUCAAAGAGUGCGUAAUAGCUCACUGGUCGAGUGGUUUUGCGCAGAAAAUGUAACGGGGCUAAGUGUUCAACCGAAGCUUAGGCAUUGCAGUAAUGCAUUGGGUAGGGGAGCGUCGUAUGCGGGGCGAAGUCAGAGCGGAAGCACUGGUGGACUGCAUACGAGUGAGAAUGCCGGAAUAAGUAGCGAGAAUUAUGUGAGAAUCAUAAUGGCCGAAAAUCUAAGGUUUCUUGGGGA